CUCAGAGGGGUUCGGACCACUCAUGGGGCACGGGUGGGGGGAGUUAAGUCAAGAUUAUAAAAUACCCCAAAAUGUCAGAAUAGCCUCCCAGUACACAAACUAAAGGUGAUGUGUAGGUGUUGUGAAAAUGAAAAAUCUUGUAUUUAGUCUUCUUCAUAGACAGAACCUAAUCCAUAAAGAGCGAGCUGUAUCUCAUAUAAUGGGCCUCAUUUAUCAGUCUUUUAAGUGAAGUUUUGUGUAAAUCUGUUCAUAGGCCACACCCAACUUCAAAUUCCUGUCGUGUUUACAAAUCAAACAAAAAAAACACAGAUUUCCUUCGUACUCUCAAGCAUAUGUUCAGAAAUACCAAUCACACAUAAAGUUAAAAGCACGUUCGUUUAGCGAUACAGACAAAACUCUGUAAUAGGGAAAGCUCAAAGUCCAAAAUGAGGAUGGCAUUGUGAAAGAAAAUGAAUGAAUUCCUCAGAAGCGCAAGUUAUUUUGACUUGCGCUGACACCAAUACAACCUAAUAUUCAACAAAUUACGCUGAAUGAAAAGGUGAAUUAGGUGUGAAUUAAGUGAGGUGAAAAGAUAAUGUGUUGACAUGAGUACAGAGGGGGCUUUAAAAAAAAGAUCUUCCACUGUCUUGGUAACUAUCCAUUGCGCACCAGUGCGCCAUCUUAGAAAUGCAAUACCUUCUUAGAAAUGCAUGAGGAAAUGUGUUGUAAGGAAACCUGACGAAUUCAAGAAGAAACCAAUGAUGGCAAGUAAAGCAACACACUAGGGAAUAUACAGCUCAUUGGAGGUUGAGACCUACUACUGUAGAUCCAACUUACAGUAUUUCUCCCGAAACCCAUGCACUGAUUAAACUCGGACAGGAAUGGCACCAGAUCUUUUUGUUGGUUGAAUUAGUACUAGCUCUAAAGUGUAAACAAACCUAAUUUUUAACCGGCUUUCGUUCUCCAAACAACUUGUAGCAGUCUCAAAAUAUCCGUUCCCUCGUAAGCACGGCAUGCGUUAAAUCUUCCAGUAGCCUUAUUCCAGCUGAGUCAUUGUAGCUGGUCGGCUUACAUCUUCCUUAUGCCGUUGUCAUGUUAAUUUAUGGAUUUGGGUUGGCUUGCAUUCUUUUAUUAUGAAAUUUUUGUUUUUCAUAUUUUACUUUUUUUUUUUUACUUAUCGCCAUUAAUAUGAAUAAUAUGAACAUGAGCAUUUUCCCUUUUUUUUUUUUUUUUUUUUACUAAAUUCAUGCAACUGAAAUAACAGCUAUUUAAACAUGCGUAUAUAUCCGUAUAUAAACCUGCUGUAACUCAUUCGUUCAUAUCCAGCUUGAUAAAUGAGGCCCAUUGUUUGGAAAAUCACGCACUGAACAUUCAGGAUACACAAAUUUUUAAAAACAUUUUAAAUCUUUUUUGGCCCUUGUUCUUCAGAACAACCUUGCAUGUGGUUCUUCUUCCUCUUAUUAUUAUUAUUAUUAUUAUUAUUAUUAUUAUUGUUUGUGGGAGGGGUGACUGAGUUAUAGACCACCUCAAUAUUUUCCAUGGGAAUAAAAGUUAUUCUACUUCCAGCUGUAACAUCCUCCCAAGUCAAAGGUGUUAUAUGUCCAUGCUGAGGAUCACAAACGAGUACCACUAUUCUAAUCUCUUCCUGACUUUAUCCCCUUUCAUUUUUCCUACCUAUUAUCUUUGCCCCUUGACCCCUUGAUCCUGUACAGUAGUAAUGACUUCUCUUCUUGAUGUUAGUGGGUAUUUUUUUCCCUGUAUACUCCAUUUUGAAUUGCAAUCUAGUUUGUAUAAAAAUGGUGCGCAUGUAAAUAAAGCUUGAUUGAGCUGUAUGUCUCU
ensembl:lncRNA